rnacentral:tRNA from 3 species
UGGGGUGUGGCCAAGUGGUAAGGCAGCGGAUUUUGGUUCCGCCAUCCUAGGUUCGAAUCCUAGCACCCCAG